UAGAGGAAGUAAAAGUCGUAACAAGGUUUCCGUAGGUGAACCUGCGGAAGGAUCAUUACCGAGCAAGGGUCCCCGUCCGGGGCCCGACCCUCCACCCAAUGCUUACCGACCUCUUUGUUGCUUUGACGGGCCGCGGGGCUCUCCCUUCGGGGAGAGCCCUCCGUCGGCCUCGGCGGACGAGCGCCCGUCAAAGACCCCAAUUAACCCUCGCGAUCCGUGUCGUCCGAGCCAUGAUAAAAAUCAAACAAAACUUUCAACAACGGAUCUCUUGGUUCUGGCAUCGAUGAAGAACGCAGCGAAAUGCGAUAAGUAAUGUGAAUUGCAGAAUUCAGUGAAUCAUCGAAUCUUUGAACGCACAUUGCGCCCCCUGGCAUUCCGGGGGGCAUGCCUGUCCGAGCGUCAUUACACCCCUCGAGCCUCGCUCGGUGAUGGGGGCCGUCCCGCGGGGCGCCCCCGAAAAGUAGCGCGCGAGGCCUUGAGAUCGUCCGGCGAAGUACAACCUUGCGUUCCGCCGCGACGUCUCGAGGCCCCUGCCGAACAAUCCGCUUGACGCACUUACNAUUGACCUCGGAUCAGGUAGGGAUACCCGCUGAACUUAAKCAUAUCAAUAAGCGGAGGAA
rnacentral:rRNA from 1 species